ACUUUACAGCUACGUUUUUUUUAAAAUUACUUUAUCACAUUUUUUUGUCUGUGUCUUUAAAGUUUUCGUUCGAACAAUUUCGUUCGUAGAAAAAGUUUAAAGCUAUUCAACGAAAGGAGAUUGGAACUUGUCCGACUGAAAUGUUCAAACUCACACUACUCGCACUAGCCCUCGCUGUGGCUUCAGCCAGCACUACAGCAAACUGGCUUAUCUUUAAGUCCAAACACAACAAGACUUACAGUGGAGAUGAAGACGUCAUCAGGAGAUACAUCUGGGAGUCCAACCUGAAAGUGAUUGAAGAACACAACGAGCGUUACGCCCAGGGACUGGAGACUUACUACCUGGGAGAGAACAAAUACGCCGACA
rnacentral:sRNA from 1 species